rnacentral:rRNA from 1 species
GUCGACGGUGACCUCGGAGCUUGCUCCGAGUGAUCAGUGGCGAACGGGUGAGUAACACGUGAGUAACCUGCCCCUGGCUCUGGGAUAACCCCGGGAAACCGAGGCUAAUACCGGAUACGACACAGACAGGCAUCUGUACUGUGUGGAAAGUUUUUCGGCCAGGGAUGGACUCGCGGCCUAUCAGCUUGUUGGUGGGGUAAUGGCCUACCAAGGCGACGACGGGUAGCCGGCCUGAGAGGGCGACCGGCCACACUGGGACUGAGACACGGCCCAGACUCCUACGGGAGGCAGCAGUGGGGAAUAUUGCGCAAUGGGCGAAAGCCUGACGCAGCGACGCCGCGUGAGGGAUGAAGGCCUUCGGGUUGUAAACCUCUUUCAGCAGGGAAGAAGCGCAAGUGACGGUACCUGCAGAAGAAGCACCGGCUAACUACGUGCCAGCAGCCGCGGUAAUACGUAGGGUGCAAGCGUUGUCCGGAAUUAUUGGGCGUAAAGAGCUCGUAGGCGGUCUGUCGCGUCUGGUGUGAAAAUCCAGGGCUUAACCCUGGACCUGCAUCGGGUACGGGCAGACUAGAGUGCGGUAGGGGAGAUCGGAAUUCCUGGUGUAGCGGUGAAAUGCGCAGAUAUCAGGAGGAACACCGGUGGCGAAGGCGGAUCUCUGGGCCGUAACUGACGCUGAGGAGCGAAAGCAUGGGGAGCGAACAGGAUUAGAUACCCUGGUAGUCCAUGCCGUAAACGUUGGGCGCUAGGUGUGGGGCUCAUUCCACGAGUUCCGUGCCGCAGCAAACGCAUUAAGCGCCCCGCCUGGG